rnacentral:lncRNA from 1 species
GUGUUUUAUAAAAAUCCGAUCAAAUAUGCUCAGGAAUAUAUUUGCUGCUUUAUAGUUCUCACAAUUUUAUAGCUGCUCACACAAACGAGGAAUCAAGCCAUAUAAAAACAUUCUAAAAGUUUAUCUUGAUUGUUCCUUGGACAGAAUAUUGUGUAAAGUGGCCAUGCAAAGCAUCGAACAAAGCAUCAGUAGAGGAAACAGUAGCCAAACUGACCUGAAUCGAUGUAAUAUAAUCAAACCACGUCCUCUAAUAGUCAACGCAGCACGAGUUUUGUCUCUCCCUUAAAGUCCCUUUAGACUUGCACACUAUCUCUCACUGACUAAAAGGAAAAACCCUCUCGCCAUCAAUUUCUUGUAUAGCUUCGGUGAAUUCAGCGUCUGUUUCGUCUAACUGUAUUCCCGUUAGAGCAACAGACACAUCAACGUUGUAUAAAUCCUCUGCGGUUGCAUCGUCUUGCGAUAAAUGUCUUCGUCCUCUUAUGCCUCGAUCAUAAACUGUUCACGACGCUCGCUUUCUUCGAUAUUUUCAUCUCCAACGUUCAAAAUAGGUUCGUAUGUUUGUUGGCUUUCUGUUUCAAUUUCCACCUUGAU